rnacentral:rRNA from 1 species
CUUGUACACACCGCCCGUCACACCAUGGGAGUGGGUUUUACCAGAAGUAGGUAGCUUAACCGCAAGGAGGGCGCUUACCACGGCAGGGCUCAUGACUGGGGUG